CACCGCCCGUCACACCAUGGGAGUCGAGUGCUCCAGAAGUGGCUGUGCUAACCCGCAAGGGAGGCAGGUCCCCAAGGAGUGCUUGGUAACGUGGGGUG
rnacentral:rRNA from 1 species